GGACCUCGGCCUUUUGGCUAAGAUCAAGUGUAGUAUCUGUUUUUAUCAGUUUAAUAUCUGAUACGUCCCCCAUCGAGGGACUACAUAUUAAAUGUUCCAGAGUGGCGCAGCGGUCUAAGGCACUGCAU
ensembl:snRNA U2 U2 spliceosomal RNA